UGUUCUGUGGUUUAGUUGGCAAAAGCUACGCAUUGGCAAUAUGGAGUUGUGGGUUCGAAUCCCACCGAAACAU
rnacentral:tRNA from 1 species